rnacentral:lncRNA from 1 species
GGCCCGGUAAAAAUUGUGGGAUGUUGGAAUGCUGUAGCAUGACCCGUCAUUUCUGCCGUAGAAGAAAAUGAGAAAAAAAAGGAAAACAAGAGGGAAUCGAAGGAUGGAAAGGGAUUGGCUAGAGGUCAAUCGACCGACACAAGAUAGGGGUCAGUCGAUUGUUGCAAAAGUACAAACAAACCAAUCCAAUAGAAAACUGACUGACCCAAAACUGGGAUCAGUCGACAACCCAAUAAUGCAAAAAGGCUCAGUAGUUUCUGUUUCUUUCUUCUGCUAUCUGUCUAGCCCAGAAAGAAAAAGGGCCUGAAAACCCGCUAAACUAAAGAUCCAAUAAACGUACAGCUCACUAGGUCUUCCUCCUUGCCCCCUCUGCUUUGUUCCUCGACAUCCACACAGCCGCCACCAUGGAAGCAGAAACAAAGCUCAGAUCUCCUCCUGUCUUCUGAUAUUUCUGGGUAACUUCUCCACAGGAUUAUUGCUGGCAAUAUACUUCUCCUUCGAUUUCCCAAAGUUUAGUUCCUCUGAUUCAUACACAGAUCACAGAUCUACUAAGAAAUGGAUGACCCUCAAUUUCAUACCCAGAUCACAGAUCUGUCAUCAGGAACAAAAAAAACGAAGAACAAAGAAACCUGGAGAUCAAAUUGCUUCUGAUCAGGCAAAGGUAUAUCAUUAUUUGCUGCCCCAUCUCCAGUAUAUUUUGUCUGAAUUUUAUUUUAGAUGCUGCAUCUUCUGAAACCACCUGCAAAAAUAACCAGAGUGCCUAAAAAUAACCAGAGUAGAAAAUUGUGAAAUACAGAAGCAAAUCAUGAUGGAAAUCAUGAAAAUGCAUUGAAAGUUAACUUGAUGGUGUCAACGUUCUUCACGCAUAGUAGUUAAAAGUGUGUUCAACUACAGUCCUAUCAGAAAACCACCCUAAAUACACAAACUACAACAUGGAUGUUCAUAAAAGUAAAAUUGCAAUUGUUUCUCUAGAGUAUACUUGACUACAGUUUGUCCAGAGAUACAAAAUUUCAUCAGAAUUACUAAAUUUGCACCUUCAGUCAAAAAGUGGAUAUCAAAUAAAAAGUAUGUGAAGUAUGUCGACCGAAGUGAGUUCCAUAAAUCAUAUAAAAAUGUGUCAACCACUAUAUUUGCAUUUUCAGGUACCAAAAAUUGCACAUAAUGCUCUCCAGCAAGAAUACAAUGAGAGUGCAGGUAAAAGGCAAUACAACACGGUAAGGGAAAAAAGAUUUAAUGCAGCAUUAGCAAGAGAUUUAUUUUUGAAUCUCAUAAGUUUUAAAAGAAUAUUUUCUUUCUAAACAAUUUGCAUACAAAAUCUGCAGGUGCUGAAAAUUUUGUAUGAAGGCAACGAACAUAUGUAGUCACUUAAAAAUCAAUCAAUGGAUAUUGUGAGGUUAGUUUGUAUUCAUUUACAAAUUAUGAUGACAUAGCAAACUAACAUGCUGUAUAAUGCUUUCUAACAGGUUGCAUUGCUUGGACAAAACAUUGCGGGAGGACAAGAGCAACACUAUGUUGCUAAACACAAAGAAUCAAUUCAAGAGGUGUAGUAUGACAAAAGAUGCAUCAAAUAAUAAAAUUUAUGAUUGUAAAAUUUUGCAUACAAACAUAAUUAAAGCUCCCAGUUAUUAAUUGUGCAAGGACAAUUUUGAUUUAUGUGUUGCAGGAGUCAAAUGAGGUCCAAUUAGGAAAGCAAAGAUUCCAAAGGGUUAAUGAGUUGCUACUACUACAAGGAACCACACAAUCUUACACAGAACUAAUGCAACAAAUGACAACAUGACAAUAAUAUAAGCAGUUUCACUUCAUUCUUAACUUGCACACACUAUAUAGUAGAGUUGAAUCCAUAAAAAAAUUGCACAUCCAUUGUACUGAACUUGCACACAUCUGACAACAAAAAAAUACUGGGGUUUACUGGUAGAUACAUUAGUUUGAACACAAAUGGAUUUAAACUACAUGGAUUACUGGAGUUAGAUACAUGGACGUAGCUAACUCAAUACUCAAAUAGAACGACAGCAACAAAACUAGCAUAUAAAACUAAAAAAUAUUCAAAAUAAACUUGGAUCGACAUGAUACUAAACUUGCACAGUACUAUAUAUACAAAUCAUCUUAUACUGAACUUGCACACACUUUAUAAUAGACUUGAAUGCAUAGAAAAAUUGCACAUUCAUCAUAGUGAACUUGCAGACAUUUGACAACAGCAAAAAAAUACUAGGGUUUACUGGUAGAUACAUUAAUAUGAACAAAAAAGGAUUUAAACUGCACGGAUUACAGGAGUUAGAUACAUGGAUGUAGCUAACUCAAUUCAUAAAAAUAACUACAACAACAAAACCUAGCCCACAAAAGUGAAAAUAUUCAAAAUAAAACUUGCAUCAUCAUCAUACUAAACUUGCACACUACUAUAUAAACAAUGAAUUAAACUGAACUUGCACACACUUUAGACUAGACUUGUAUCCAUAAAAAAAUUGCAAAUUCAUCAUACUGAACUUGCACACAUUUGACAACAGCAACAAAACCUAACCCACAAAAGUGAAAAUAUUCAAAAUAAAACUUGCAUCGUCAUGAUACUAAACUUGCACACUACUAUAUAAAUAUUGAAUUAAACUAAACUUGCCCACACUUUAUACUAGACUUGUAUCCAUAAAAAAAUGCAAAUUCAUCAUACUGAACUUGCACACAUUUGACAACAGCAAAAAAAAUAUACUGGGGUUUACUGUUAGAUACAUUUAUUUGAACAAAAAUGGAUUUAAACUACAUGGCCAUAAAACUCAAAAUUUUCAAAAAAAAACUUGCAUCCUCAGGAUACUAAACUUGCACGCACUAUAUAUACAUUGUUUUUAACAAAAAGGGAUUUAACCUCCAUGGAUUACUUGGAGGUGGCAAAAUUCAUUCACAAAAAAACUACAUCAACAAAACUAAUCCAUGAAACUAAAAAAAUUGAAAAUAUAAUUACACACACUUUACAACCGCCAAAAAAUUCAUGAAAAACUUGAAACAAAAUGAUAAAAUGAACAAUGGAAACUUCUCUAGGAAAGAAUCCAACACUGAAUUUAAAUAUGUACGAAAUGGUAUCCUACUUUGAGGUUUACUGCAUGAAUUACAUUGAUUUCAGCAAAAGGAAUUUAACCUAUGUGAAUUAUAUAGUACCUCAGUAAAUACACAAAAAUAACUACAAGAAAAGAACUAAUCCUUAAGUUUGCACACAAUUUAUUACAUUGCACAUUUAUUACAGUAAAAUUGCACACAUUUUACAAUAGCAAGACUAAUAUUAGCCUUGUUGAUAUCGUAAAUUAAAAUUUACUGGAAGUAGAUACAUUGAUUUAUACAAAAGGUAUUUAACCUACAUGGAUAACAGGGCUGCUAACUCAAAUUGGCAAUUAUAAGUACAACAACAGAACUAAUCCAUAAAAUUCAAAAUUUACAAAUAAAACUUUUAUCCACCUCACAAAUACUAGACUUGCACACACUUUAUACAUUUUCAUCAUACUGAACUCGCACACACAUUAUACUAGAAUUGAAUCCACACAAAAAAUUGCACACUGAUCAUAGUGAACUUGCACACAUUUUACAACUGCAAAAAACUGGGGUUUACUUGUAGAUAAAUUUAUUUGAACAAAAAUGAACUUGAUUACAGUAGUUAUAAACAUGGACGUAACUAACUAAAUUCAAAACUAAAAUUACAACAACAAACCUAAUUCAUAAAACUCAACAUUUCCAAAAUGAAACUUGCAUCCUCAUGAUACUAGAGUUGCACACACUACAAGAGAGGAAAGAAUUAAUAAAAAUGUAUACUAAAAGAAUAUCCUAGUUUGAGGUUUACUACAAGUAUAAACAUUGAAUUCAACAAAAGGAAUUACACGAACUACACAGUACCUCAGAAUUGAAAAAUAUAAAAUCAUUAAAAUUCUAAAAAUAAAGAAUUUGCAACCUCUUACAAGGGGAUACCAAAAAACAAAGAAUGUAAAUGGAUAUGAUUAAUACAACUCACCAUCCUCGUAAAGCAAAAAAUCAUCAAGGACAACAUCAAAAACUUCAAGGACUUCAUCAGCUGGCACAAACGAAAAGCAUGGAGCACCAGGACAGCAACAAACAGGGCAAACCAUACCUGUACAAAAAAUAAACAUAUGGUUAUUCUACAUGGAUAACUUACAAUGAAAGAUCUCAAAAUGAAGAAGUUCCCUAAAAAAGAUUAAAUCUAAAUUGCAUCUCUAAGCAACUAAACUUGCAUAAACUCUUCGGAUAUCAAUUGGGAACCAUACAUAAAUAAAAGCUGAUAACUGUAAAAAAUAAGAACAUUCCAAGAGUUCGAAAAAAAUCACAACUAGCACAAAUACAACACACCCAUACACACAUAACAAAGUACCAAAGCUAAAACAUACAAACUGACUACCAAACCUAACCACUUAAAAAACCAAAACAAAUAAUUUGGUAUCAGGGGUUCAAAUUACACCUGCAUCAAUAGCUAAAAGCUAAAAAGAGAGCAUUACAUUAAGUAUACAAACAGAAAAGAUUUCAUCUUUGGACAGAUGUUGCAAAACUCAUCUCACCCACUAAUAAAUAAAUAAAAACCUAACCAGUAAAACUUAACAUAAUCAGUCAAAAGAUUCCUAACCAUACUACUCCUACUACCACCAAAUACACAAAAAAGUCUAGACUAACACUAACCAACCAGAAGAACCAUACCAUACUACUCCUAGUACCACCAAAAAGACGAAUCUAAAAAGUAAAAACACUAACCAUUGUACUACUACAAGCACGUAGUACACAAAAAAAUAAUCUGAAAUUACCCUAACCAAUCAAAACAACGCUAGCAAAUACUACUACUACCACCAAGAAUACAAAUCUAAAAGUAAAACACCUAACCACACAAAAUAAAGACCAAAUCUGAAGCAUCAUACACAAAAAAGAAGACUAAGCACAGAGUAGAACUACUACUAAACAACAAGAACACUACAGUGGUCACCUAAUAAGUUGAACGAACAGAUCUAAAGGUAACAGAAACACAAACCUAACAAAUCAGAAACAAGAAACCCUAAAACAUUACAAAGAACCCUACCACUAAACAACAAGGACCAUGCACUAGUCAGCUAAUCAGUGGCAACAUUAGAUCUAAAAUGACUACAAAAACAAACAACAAAGAACAUCAUAGCAAGAAAGCUUAAAACGAUACAUAGAGGGGAUUCAAAGAGAAUGAGAAAUUACAAAAAAGGAGCAGAUUCGCCAAAGUAAAUCCUUGAUCCAAGAAAAUCCGCAGUUACUGAUCCUGCAUACACAAACAGCUUCAAAACAUCAAUACCUUCAAAACCUACAACACAAAUAGCAUGAAAAUAGAGCAGAGAGCAGAAACGAGCAACAUAGCCGAGGGAGGAGAAAAAACAGCAGAGCUCCGACGAACCCUAGCAGGAUUAGUAACCCUACACGAGAAGAGAAGAAGAUAGGAACGGGAGAGCUCGAGGGGAAAGUGACUGACAGGAUUCCAGACAACGAAGAGAUAAGAAGGGGAGCGGCCGAUGCUAGCGAUUCUAGAAGCGGGCUGGGCGGGGCCGGUGGGCGCUAAGCUAGGCUAGA